AACGAACGCUGGCGGCAGGCCUAACACAUGCAAGUCGAGCGCCCCGCAAGGGGAGCGGCGGACGGGUGAGUAACGCGUGGGAACGUACCCUUUGCUACGGAAUAGCCUCGGGAAACUGGGAGUAAUACCGUACGUGCCCUUCGGGGGAAAGAUUUAUCGGCAAAGGAUCGGCCCGCGUUGGAUUAGGUAGUUGGUGGGGUAAUGGCCUACCAAGCCGACGAUCCAUAGCUGGUUUGAGAGGAUGAUCAGCCACACUGGGACUGAGACACGGCCCAGACUCCUACGGGAGGCAGCAGUGGGGAAUCUUAGACAAUGGGCGCAAGCCUGAUCUAGCCAUGCCGCGUGAGCGAUGAAGGCCUUAGGGUUGUAAAGCUCUUUCAGUGGGGAAGAUAAUGACUGUACCCACAGAAGAAGCCCCGGCUAAACUCCGUGCCAGCAGCCGUCGGAAAGUCAGUGACU
rnacentral:rRNA from 1 species